rnacentral:rRNA from 1 species
AACGAACGCUGGCGGCAGGCUUAACACAUGCCAGUCGAGCGCCCCGCAAGGGGAGCGGCAGACGGGUGAGUAACGCGUGGGAACGUACCUUUUGGUUCGGAACAACUCCGGGAAACUGGAGCUAAUACCGGAUAAGCCCUAACGGGGAAAGAUUUAUCGUCGAAAGAUCGGCCCGCGUCUGAUUAGCUAGUUGGUGAGGUAACGGCUCACCAAGGCGACGAUCAGUAGCUGGUCUGAGAGGAUGAGCAGCCACACUGGGACUGAGACACGGCCCAGACUCCUACGGGAGGCAGCAGUGGGGAAUAUUGGACAAUGGGCGCAAGCCUGAUCCAGCCAUGCCGCGUGAGUGAUGAAGGCCUUAGGGUUGUAAAGCUCUUUUGUCCGGGAAGAUAAUGACUGUACCGGAAGAAUAAGCCCCGGCUAACUUCGUG